rnacentral:rRNA from 1 species
GGCUGCAGAAUUUUUAACUGUACAAAGGUAGCAUAAUAAUUUGUUUUUUAAUUAAAAACUAGUAUGAAUGAUUAAAUGAAAUAUAAACUGUUUCAAUUAAAUAAAAAUUUAAAUUUUUAUUUAAGUAAAAAAACUUAAAUAAAUUUAAAAGACGACAAGACCCUAUAGAAUUUUAUUUAUUUUUUAAUAAUAAUACUUAAUUAAUUUAUUUAAAUUAAAAAAAUAAAUUUAAUUGGGGUAAUUUAAAAAUAAAAAAAAUUUUUUUUAUACAUAACAUUAAUUAAUGAAUAUAAUAUCUUAAAAUUUAAAUUAUUAAAAUUAAUUACCUUAGGGAUAACAGCAUAAUUUUUUUUAAAAGAUCUUAUU